rfam:Lupinus angustifolius cultivar Tanjil chromosome LG02, whole genome shotgun sequence.
AGGUACGAUCAUACCAGCAGUAAUGCAUCGAAUCCCAUCAGAACUCUGUAGUUAAGCGUGCUUGGGCGAGAGUUGUAGUAGGAUGGGUGAUCUCCUGGGAAGUCCUCGUGUUGCACCUC